CCAGCAAAGCGCGCAAUGGAUGAGCGAGAUGGGUUCAUAAAACUAUAUCCGCAGUGUGGUGCGCAAAAACUUUGAAGAGUUUGCAGGAAAAAGUUUGGCGCACCAGAAGAGCAGAAGAAAAGUCUCCAUUUGGUGCGUAAAAAAAAACAGCGAAGGAUCCCAUGUUUGUGAGCGGAUUUAAAGGACUACAUCCGCAAAGAGCUCCUCUCUCCAUCUCCAUCUCCCCACCCCCACAAAGAGAAAAACAACAAAAAAGAUGCUCUCACAAUUUCACGCGUGACAGAACUUUUUGUUUGCCGCAAAGAGGGCUGCAGGAGGGUGCAACAUCUGCGGGUGUAAGGUACUGGAACAAUAUUGGGGAGUUUUUUUCUGCAGGAUAGGGAGCAAAUACCCACUCAGUAGAAUAAAGAAAGCUCAACGCAAAGCAAAAAGCUGAAAUGAUUAAUUUCUCUGGGCCUGCCUGAGCACACCAAACCGUUUGCUGAAAAACGGUCCAGACUGGAAGCGUGUUGCCUGGAGGAGUUGGAAUUAAUCCAGUACAUCAAUCUGACUUCCCUUGCCUCUGUAUGGUCCUCCAGCUAAGAUCGAUUUGUUCCUAACAGCUAGAGCCAACAUGUUUGCAGGUUUAACCCAUAGAAAGCUUCACUGAUAAUGGACGGACAGAAAGAGCAGAUUCGUCUUAAAAAUCUUAAAGAAUAAGAAAAUAAAGUGUUGCAGAA